UUUGACUGGGGCGGUCUCCUCCUAAAGAGUAACGGAGGAGCACGAAGGUUGGCUAAUCCUGGUCGGACAUCAGGAGGUUAGUGCAAUGGCAUAAGCCAGCUUGACUGCGAGCGUGACGGCGCGAGCAGGUGCGAAAGCAGGUCAUAGUGAUCCGGUGGUUCUGAAUGGAAGGGCCAUCGCUCAACGGAUAAAAGGUACUCCGGGGAUAACAGGCUGAUACCGCCCAAGAGUUCAUAUCGACGGCGGUGUUUGGCACCUCGAUGUCGGCUCAUCACAUCCUGGGGCUGAAGUAGGUCCCAAGGGUAUGGCUGUUCGCCAUUUAAAGUGGUACGCGAGCUGGGUUUAGAACGUCGUGAGACAGUUCGGUCCCUAUCUGCCGUGGGCGCUGGAGAACUGAGGGGGGCUGCUCCUAGUACGAGAGGACCGGAGUGGACGCAUCACUGGUGUUCGGGUUGUCAUGCCAAUGGCACUGCCCGGUAGCUAAAUGCGGAAGAGA
rnacentral:rRNA from 1 species